GGCGAGUUCGACUGUCUGCUGAUGUCACGAGGCUCAUAACCUCGGCUAGGAAGGUUGGAUUCCUUCACUCGCUACCA
rnacentral:tRNA from 1 species